GACGCGGCGGCGAUUCCGUCGGGCGGAGCGGCGGCGUUUCCGUCGGGAGGAGCGGUGGCGAUUCCAUCCGGUGAUUGUGCAGUCCUGUUGCGCAGUUUGCGGGAGGUGAAGUCUUUGGUUUGCUGGUGGCUACGACGCGGCUGUGAAGUUGGAGCUGAUUUCGUCAUGGGUCAUAGAAAAAGAUCAAAAGUGGAUAUUUCUAGUGAAUCUAACAGUGACAAUGAUUGUAGUUUGAGUUCUGAUAAUCAUGAUGGUGAUGUUCAUUUAUCUAAUCAUGAUGAAAGUUCUGAUAAUCAUGACCAACAUUUUGAGGAAAAUGAUCCUUUGCUUCAUUUAACUAAAGAAGAGCUUAUGAAGAAAUUGAAAAUAAAGCUUGGUAAAAGGCCAUUUACAGAUGACCAUAAAAAGAAGAGACAUAAAGUUGAAUCAGACUCAAUUAUCGAUGAUGCAUUGUUAGAGAUUCACAAUGAUCUAGUUCUCCAUUCUUUGAAAAUGAAAUUAAGCAUGCUUGGUGAACAGUCUAAAAAUAAGAAUGAUCUUAUGAAACACCCUUCAAAAACUAAUUUUGGAAUGGUCCAAAAGAGUUUUUCUAGAGCAUCACUUGCUAGACCAAUUGAGAUAUGUGACAUGCUGUUUUUCCCAAUAUUGCAUUUGAGGCAUUGGUUUCUGUUUGUUGUUGAUUUGAAAGAUGAGAGUUUUGUUUUCAUUGACUCCUUAUUUGAAGAAGAAGAAGACUAUCAAUACAAUGCUAGAUGCAGAUUGAUAUCAAAAUUUUCAAUUGUAUGGAGGAAAUUUGUCUCUGAACAUCCAAUUAACUUUGCUAGUUUCAAGAUAAUAUACCCACCUCGUCCAAGACAAACAAAUCGCCUUGAUUGUGGUAUUUUUACUCUGAAAUUCAUGGAAAUUUGGCGUCCAAGAGUUCUGCUAACCAACCAGUUCUCUCAAAAAGACAUUCCUAACAUAAGGAUUCAAUAUGUCAACAAGUUGUUUUUCCAUCCAUGCAACAUUAUGCUGAACUCUGCAACAAAGAAACUUGUUACUGACUAUUAUGCAAAGGGCUGA
rnacentral:lncRNA from 1 species